UUAACCCAUUUCACUCUCCCUUCUCUAUUCUUUUCCAUCAAGCUCCUCUUCUCCCCUCUUUUUUACUUUUUCCUCGAAUUUCCCUGAUAAAUAAAUUGAAAUUUGCAAUUUUAAUAGAAUUGGUUGACAAAUUAUAAAUAGCUUGCACAUCCUUUGGCAAUCAUGUCGAAUUUUACUGGCCUCCAAUAAUCAUAUGGAGCAGAUGGCUCUACGGAGGGGCUUAAUCUGGCUUUACAGCUUAAUCUCAGCCCCAUUAAAGUCAAUAUCGAUUCCAUGGAGGUAAUUCACAUGUUGUCUAAGGGCAAUACAUUAUAUGAUCCUCUUAUUUAUAAAUGCAGGUCAAUAAUAAGAAGGCUGGGAAGACCAACCGUGCAUCAUUGCUUUAGGGAGAAAAAUCAGGUUGUCGAUGCACUAGUAAAUAAAGAAGGACAGUCUUUUGUUGGUAGAAACCAAGUUUUUGUUACACCACCCCCUUUCGCCCUGAAGGAAGUAUGGAACGACAUAGGUGGACAUAUGUAUCUAAGAUCUGUUUCUAACUCUCAGUUAACUCAAGGGAGCAAUGCCUUUUGUUUUGUAAUGGAGCCUAAUUAGGCAUUACUCUUGUA